GACUAACACUUCAGUGUGGGUUACCACAAACACUUAACAUUCUAAACAGAUAUUCAAAAAUAAAUACAAAAAGAUGUACAGAAAAUUAGAUUUUGUGGGAAUGUGCUAUAUGCAAUACAAAAAUAAACAAUAAAUGCAAUGAACGAUUAAACAAAUAAAAGCUGCAUGAACUAGAUCAACUAUCGGCUGACGGUAUAUCGGAGGCAUCUGGUUGUGGUGUCGUAGUGUUGGAAAUGUUCUUGGACAAAGCGUGGAAAAAUUUGCAAUUAUAAUUUAUUAUUAAAUAAUAUUCCGAAGGCUCAUGCAGCAGAGCAGAAAUGUCAAUUUCACAAUGAACUGUUUUAGUGGAGAAAGUAGUCGAGAAAAUUGAAACUAAAGUAAAGAAAACUGUGAUAUUUGUUGACAAUUUGAUGGAACAGCUCUCGUUGUGCCGCAAGAACCCGCUGUGCUGUUUUACGGCCUGGCCUAAGAAAAGGCAGUAUGGAAAACCGCAACCAAGGCCAAAUUAUCUAAUCAAGAAGUGCACCGUUCCAGGCGAAGACAAUAGGCCAUGGGAACACACUUGCUUUCAUCUGCCAACAUACUCUGGGGCCACAUGACGCUGCAGCGCAGGAACCUGUUCCAGACGCGUCAUCAGGCUCUGACGAUAUCGGUGGCAGAAGCGGCUCUACACGGGACGGACCAAGGCCUAGAAUCGAAUACACCCGAGGGAAUGAAUGUUCUUGAAAGACAAGAGUGAUUGUACCAUACAGAAUGCCCCUCGAUAUGUACCCACCCCUAUAAAUUCAGGUCUCCGCUGCUGCAAACACUUUUCGCAUUGGUUGGACACAGAGAAAGUGGAUGGAGUGGAUGCAUUUCCAAUAAGCCCACGAAAGUACUAAUGAUGGUUUUAUUAUUGAGCGAAAGAAAAGCCAAUAGGAUCUGAGAAGCCCGAAGAAAACACAUCCCAGACUGUUGCUACGGGGCUCACCAACAUGGAAACUUUCUCGCAUAUUUAUUAUGUCUUUGUGUGCACUGUAGACAUACGUUCUUGUAUACAUUUUUUAGAGAAUAUCCAACUUUUUGUGCGCAUAUUAUGCUUGCCAUGAAGAAUCCA
rnacentral:sRNA from 1 species